ensembl:lncRNA
CUCUGCUGGACGACGGAGCGCUGCGAUUGGACGACGCUCGGACGAGUGACAGCGGAGUGUACAGACAGGAAGUGUACAAUGAGGGCGGGGUCAGGCUCAGCAAGAAUGAAAUCGAACUGACCGUAUAUGGACAGGUUCAGGUUUGGGCUCGAGGCUGGACCCCGGUCGGUCUGUGUGUGAUCCUCCUCAUCCUCCUCAUCGCCAUCUUCAUCAGGACGAAGAGGGCGACGUCUGCGGCCAAUCAGAGCAGAGAGACAGAUUCUCGAGGUUUGGAUGAGAACGUGUACGUCCCCAUGUUCAGAGCCACAGACCCGAAGACCCAGAACCAGACCAAGACCACGACUAAACCCGGAGCCCCGUCUGUGACCCAAUCUCCAUCUGACCCCUGUGACCCCGAGGAGGACAUUUAUGUUUGACCCCUAAGGCUCC